AUUGAACGCUGGCGGCAUGCUUUACACAUGCAAGUCGGACGAGUGGCGAACGGGUGAGUAACAUAUCGGAACGUACCGAGUAAUGGGGGAUAACUAAUCGAAAGAUUAGCUAAUACCGCAUAUUAUUCGAGCGGCCGAUAUCUGAUUAGCUGGUUGGUGGGGUAAAGGCCUACCAAGGCGAAGAAGAGUAGCGGGUCGUAGAGGAUGAUCCGCAAUACUGGGUAUGAGAAACCGCCAUUGCUCCUACGGUAGGCAUCGAUGGGGAAUUGUGGACAAUGGUCGCAAGCCUGAUCCUGCCAUGCCGCGUGUCUGAAGAAGGCCUUCGGGUUGUAAAGGACUUUUGUCAGGGAAGCGGUACCUGAAGAAUAAGCACCGGCUAACUACGUGCCAGCAGCCGCGGUAAUAC
rnacentral:rRNA from 1 species